GGCGUCUUUUUAUAAAUGGCGACUCACGUAAAUGCACGUUGCUGAUAAAUGUGCUCAUCUAGAAAAAACGAUUAUUCCGGUGUAAUUUAUUGUUGAAUUUCGUUUAAUUAAUUUAGUAACUAAAAAUAUUAAAAAAAUAAGUUAAAUAUUAACUUGACUUUAAUUAAACUUAAUAACAAAAACUAUCAAAUUUAAUUACGAAAAUGGGAAACGUAAAUGCAGCUUCUGCACCACCUCCAUCAGCAAUGCCGACUCUCACACCUCCAGAUAUACCGAAAGAGCAUCAAAUGGGUAGUUAUACACCAUCGGAUACAGAAAACAAAUCAAAAAAUCCUGGAACAGUGGAAGAACUACAUAAGCUUUGUAAAGAUGUUUUUCCAACGCAUUUUGAAGGGGCUAAACUCAUGGUCAACAAAGCUCUUAGCAAUCAUUUUCAAAUAUCUCAUACCAUUUCGAUGAGCUCUGUUAUCAAAUCAGGAUACAAAUUCGGAGCAACAUUUGUAGGAACCAAACAAACAUCACCAACAGAAGCUUAUCCAGUACUUUUAGGAGAUAUAGAAUCUAGUGGAAAUCUUAAUGCUAAUAUUGUACAUCAAUUUCAUCCACGAUUGAAGGCAAAAAUGGCCACACAAGUACAGCGAAGUAAAUUCACCGCAGUUCAAAUGACUUCUGAUUAUCGUGGAGACACUUUUACUGCUUCUUUAACGGUAGCUAAUCCCGAUAUCAUCAAUGGCUCUGGUGUUAUGGUUGCACAUUACCUCCAGAAUGUCACUCCAGCAUUAGCCCUUGGAGGAGAACUUGCAUAUCAACGAGGCUACGGUAUUCCUGGUGGAUCCAUUGCUGUAGCUUCUCUCGUAGGCCGAUAUACAAAUGGAGAUUCAACAAUUAGCGCCAGUUUAGGUCCAGCAAGUUGUCAUUUGUGUUUCCAUCAAAGAGCUAGUCAACAAUUGCAAAUUGGCGUAGAAUUGGAAGUUAAUUCUCGAAUGCAAGAAUCAACAGCUACAAUAGCCUAUCAGAUUGAUUUACCGAAAGCCGAUAUAAUAUAUAGAGGGAGCAUCGAUUCUAAUUGGACAGUAGGAGCAGUUUUAGAGAAAAAAUUACAACCACUUCCUUUCUCAUUUGCUCUCAGUGGUCUCUUAAAUCACUCCAAAGGCCAUUUCCAACUUGGUUGUGGUCUAAUUAUUGGCUAAAUCAUUGAAAUUAAUAUAAAAUUCUUCUAUUGAGAAUUUUAUUAAAUUAAAUAGAAAUAAAAAAAAUACUUUGACGUUGUAUGAUACGAGAUAUUGAAUUGUUGAAAUGUUCAAUAGAACAUUAAACUUGUUGCGGAUUAAAGAUCAGAAGAUUACAUUCGCGCUACCUUAAUUUUUUUAACAAUUAUGAACUGGAAAAAUUCAUUGAUCUCCAUUGUACAGUUACAAUAGGCAAAUGCGAUUGCAUGUAUUAAAAAUAUAUUAUAUAUAUAUAUAUUAAAAAAAAAUUUCUGUUACUUGGUAUGGUAUAAUGCAAAGUCUCAGUUUUUAUUUAGUUUAUAUGAUGGUUAAAUAUUGUUUAUUGUUUAGUUUGUCUGCUACUAGUGUGUAACUGGAAUAAAUUUCAUUUUACUGCAAUAAAUGUCG